GAUGAACGCUGGCGGCGUGCCUAAUACAUGCAGGUCGAGCGAACAGACGAGGAGCUUGCUCCUCUGACGUUAGCGGCGGACGGGUGAGUAACACGUGGAUAACCUACCUAUAAGACUGGGAUAACUUCGGGAAACCGGAGCUAAUACCGGAUAAUAUAUUGAACCGCAUGGUUCAAUAGUGAAAGACGGUUUUGCUGUUACUUAUAGAUGGAUCCGCGCUGCAUUAGCUAGUUGGUAAGGUAACGGCUUACCAAGGCAACGAUGCGUAGCCGACCUGAGAGGGUGAUCGGCCACUCUGGAACUGAGACACGGUCGAGCCUCGUGCGGGACGCAGCAGUAGGGAAUCUUCCGCAAUGGGGGAAGGCUUGACGGUGGAACGCCGCGUGAGUCAUGAAGGUCUUCGGAUCGUGGAACUCUGUUCUUGGGGAAGGACGUAUGUGUAAGUAACUAUGCACGUCUUGACGGUACCUAAGCAAAAAGCCACGGCUAACUACGUG
rnacentral:rRNA from 1 species